rnacentral:lncRNA from 9 species
GCCACUUCUGCGACCCAUACCACAGCUCUCAGCAAUGCCAGAUCCCCAACCCAACGAGGGAGGCCAGGGGUUGAACCCGCAUCCUCAUGAAUACUAGUCUGAUUCGUUUCCAUUCUGCCACAGUGGGAACUCCCACCAUGUCUCUUCUUAAGCCCAGUCUUCUCUCUGUGAGACUGCUCGGGAUUAGGGGGAGGGAGAUGAGCAGAGCCAGCCUCCUCUUUCUGAAAGUGGAGGAGGCGUACAUGUGUGUGCACACACACAUGUGCCCUCUCACAUCCCUCAGCGGAGCCCUCCCUGAACCCAUGGGCUGAGACCCCACCCUGCCAUUGCUAUGACAACCACUUCUGUGAGGACAUGGGCACUAAAGAAUUGUGAGGGUGGGGUUAGGGAGAGAGGGGACACACCAGAGUCUCGUUAUAGUAGUGAUCACAGAACUUGAUAAUGAAAAAGAGGGAUGAUGUGUCUUCAUCUUCAAAUCUCAAAGAGCACAAAGAAGCUUGGGCAUCCUCAGGGGCAGAAAAACCCUCCUUUAACAGCGUUGAUGUGUCCUUGACGUCCAUCUACAGCUUCACUGAUGACCUGGGCUAUCAAGGGAGCCAGGACCUGACCAGUGAAGAAGAUCUCAGCCCUGUUCGAGCCAAGAAUCAGAAGCUGAAUAAGGUUUCCGUUUUCCGAAUGAGGCGAAAUAGGAUGAGGGGGCAAGACGAGGAAGACGAGGAUGAGGAGGACGAGGUAGAGUGCUUUCCUACUUCUUUGGGAUCCCCUAGGGUGAGACAGAAGCAACACUUAUACUCAAAGACCGGCCAACUGAGGCAGAAGGAGCCCUUGAGCAUCUUGGAAAAUAGCCUGAGCACCCCCACCUCCAAGACCAAAUCGUCCCGCUGGAGUCUGACCGGGUUCCAUCAAUACUUGUGUAGCUGCUGCCACAAGAAUCCGAAGUCAGUGGAGGAAAACAAGGCAUUGGAUUCCAAAGAAAGGAGAGACCCAAGUGAAAACAGAGUCAUGGUUUCCAUUAAUGAGCAAGGGAGGCAAGAGGCUCUUGGGAGAUCUCCAAGGGAAGGUCUGGGUAGAAGCAAGAAAAGUAGAGAGAGUAGUCCUUCUGCUUGUAAAUAAAGCAAAUUUUAUUUUUGUCGGUGGCAUGUAUGAGCCUGAUUGAUGACUCUAGGGGUUUUUGUUUGUUUAAUUUUUUUUUUUAAAGAACUAGAAUGGUUCUUUCUUUCUUUCUCCCUUUCUUUUUUUGAUUUUUAGAGCCGCACACGAGGCAUAAUUGGAGCAACAGCCAUCGGCCUAUGCCACAGCCACAGCCUCAGCAAUGCUAGAUCUGAGCCACGUCUGCAACCUACACCACAGUUCAUGGCACCACCGGAUCCUUAACUCACUAAGCAAGGCCAGGAAUUGAACCUGCAACCUCAUGGUUCCUAGUCAGAUUCAUUUCCACUGCACCACUACGGGAACACCUUGUUUGUUUAAUUUUUAAUUGUUUUUGUUUUUUGCUUUUUAGGGCCUUGCCUGCAGCAUGUGGAAGUUCCUAGGCUAGGGGUCGAAUUAGAGCUGCAGCUGCCAACCUAUGCCACAGCCACAGCAACUCAGGAUCCAAGCCACUUCUGCGACUUACAUCACAGCUUGCAGCAACACUGGAUCCUUAACCCACUGAGCGAGCCAGAGAUCAAACCUGAGUCCUUAUGGAUACUGGAUACUAAUGGGAUUUGUUACCUCUGAGCCACAACGGGAGCUCUGAUGACUCUAGGUUUUUGUUUUUAUUUUCUUUUUGCCUUUUCUAGGGCCGCUUCUGUGGCAUGUGGAGAUUCCCAGGUCUAAUCAGAGCCAUAGCCACCAGCCUGCACCAGAGCCACAACAACUUGGGAUCUGAGCCGCGUCUGCAACCUACACCACAGCUCACGGCAACGCCAGCUCCUCGACCCACUAAGCAAGGCCAGGGAUCAAACCCGCAACCUCGUGGUUUCUAGUCGGAUUCAUUAGCCGCUGUGCCACAACGGGAACUCCCGACUCUAGGUUUUUAUCCUCUUUUCUUUCCUUUUUGUUUUUGUGGAUGUAUCUCUUUCCUCCUCCCCCUUUUAUCUCUCCAAACGCCUUCUCCGACUUUCCAAUUCUGUAUGACUUUCUGUCUCUAAGAUACCGGGCUAAUGUGUCGAAGAGUGAGACCCUGAGAGGUGUGAGAAGUCUUUUGAAACCUUUGAAGCCUGGAACUCCAAGGUGAAAAACAACCUGAAGAGAGUCUUGAGGUAACUAAUGAGGGAGGCUUCAAAGCCAAAUUUUUUAGGUUUCAAUGCCAGCGUUGUUUCAUUUUCUUUCUAGUAACUCUCAGUUCUAUACAGCAAAGCUUUUGAGCUUCUAAUUGUAGCUAACAAUUAGGCGGGAAUAAAAACCGCCCAGAGGGAAAUUAGAAGCCAUUUUUAAGAUUGUGGGAGUUCCCGCUGUGGCUCAGCAGUUAAUGAACCCAACUAGUAUCUAUAAGGACAAGGGUUCAAUCCCUAGCCUCACUUAGUAGGUUAAGGAUCCAGUGCUGCUGUGAGUUGUGGUGUAGGUUGCAGAUGCAGCUCAGAUCCUGAGUUGCUGUGGCUAUGGUGUAGGCCAGUGGUUACAGCUCUGACUGGACCCCUAGCCUGGGAACCUCCAUAUGCUGUGAGUACAGCCCUUAAGAAAGACACACACAAAGGUUGUGAUUGUUCCUGGCAACAAAGUUUAAGGCUAGAGUAAGAAGAGGAGAAAAGGGAUCCUUACUCUCCGGGGCCUUCCCAC